UACAGAGGUCUCAAGCGUUGUUCGGAUUCAUUGGGCGUAAAGGGUGCGUAGGUGGCGCGGUAAGUCGGGUGUGAAAUCUCGGAGCUUAACUCCGAAAUUGCAUUCGAUACUGCCGUGCUCGAGGACUGGAGAGGAGACUGGAAUUCAUGGUGUAGCAGUGAAAUGCGUAGAGAUCAUGAGGAAGACCAGUGGCGAAGGCGGGUCUCUGGACAGUCCCUGACACUGAGGCACGAAGGCCAGGGGAGCAAACGGG
rnacentral:rRNA from 1 species